GACGAACGCUGGCGGCGUGCUUAACACAUGCAAGUCGAACGGAAAGGCCCUGCUUUUGUGGGGUGCUCGAGUGGCGAACGGGUGAGUAACACGUGAGUAACCUGCCCUUGACUUUGGGAUAACUUCAGGAAACUGGGGCUAAUACCGGAUAGGAGCUCCUGCUGCAUGGUGGGGGUUGGAAAGUUUCGGCGGUUGGGGAUGGACUCGCGGCUUAUCAGCUUGUUGGUGGGGUAGUGGCUUACCAAGGCUUUGACGGGUAGCCGGCCUGAGAGGGUGACCGGCCACAUUGGGACUGCGAUACGGCCCAGACGCCUACGGGAGGCAGCAGUGGGGAAUAUUGCACAAUGGGCGGAAGCCUGAUGCAGCAACGCCGCGUGCGGGAUGACGGCCUUCGGGUUGUAAACCGCUUUCGCCUGUGACGAAGCGUGAGUGACGGUAAUGGGUAAAGAAGCACCGGCUAACUACGUG
rnacentral:rRNA from 1 species